GUAGGUGAACCUGCGGAAGGAUCAUUUCUGAACUAAGGUUUAGAUUUGAGGAAGAGAAAGUGGCUUUAUUGCUGCAAUCUUUUUUUCUUUUCUUUUCCUUAUCAAAGAGAGUGUGUGGUAUAAAUGAAAAGGAAAAUUUGAAAAUGGGAAUUGAAUUGGGGUUAAAACUCGAUUUCAAUUGCCAACUUUCUGUUUCCUAAUCUACUUUUAUAAACCAAAACAAGUUACUUUUUGUUCAAAAACAAAACGU
rnacentral:misc_RNA from 1 species